GACGAAGGGGGCUAGCGUUGUUCGGAAUUACUGGGCGUAAAGGGUGCGUAGGCGGGUUUUUAAGUCAGAGGUGAAAUCCUGGAGCUCAACUCCAGAACUGCCUUUGAUACUGAGGAUCUUGAGUUCGGGAGAGGUGAGUGGAACUGCGAGUGUAGAGGUGAAAUUCGUAGAUAUUCGCAAGAACACCAGUGGCGAAGGCGGCUCACUGGCCCGAUACUGACACUGAGAUACGAAAGCGUGGGGAGCAAACAGG
rnacentral:rRNA from 1 species